rnacentral:tRNA from 1 species
AGGCGCGUAGCUCAGCUGGUUAGAGCACCACCUUGACAUGGUGGGGGUCGUUGGUACGAGUCCAAUCGCGCCUACCA